UGGUCAGUUGCUAGUCUAUAUAUGUUUCUGGACAAAGUAAGUGAUGUGAGGCUUGUUGCGGGCCAAGAUCGGUAGUAACUGUUUGAAUUGUGUUGGAAGAGGAUGUGUCGGCCAGUGUGGUAGACUAGCGGGUGGUAAAUUGUUUCGGCUGCUACAGCUCUCCAGCCCAAGUUGUUGACUGGCUAGUCUUUGACUGCCUCCCAACAUGUUAGUGAGGUCCUGAGCUGAUGUACCCUAUGGCGAAGAGUGAGGCACUAGUUUCCUGAAGUAAUGUAUAGCAUGAGAUGGCACCCAUUCUAAACAGCAGCCGGCACCAACUCUGGCCGACGUUGGAGUGGACAAGACCCAGAUCCUGUGGGGAGGAAAAGUCUACACUAAACUGUAAAAGGGUGUUGGUUUUUCUCACUGAAGCUACCACUCGUGCAAUUUUGAUUGGUGAUUGUGACUUAGUCCUCCUCGUGAUCUACGGCAAGGUGGAGACGCAUUAUCUGAAAUGGCUGUUGCAAUGUAUUGAAAUUAAAUUUUAUUAAAAACUCUGGAAAGUGCAGUGGCCUGUUGGACCACCUGGACAGCGAGGCGCGAGAGUUGGAAGUGUUUCCACCAUUACGUCAGAUACUCCUCUGCCGCAGAUUUGGAAGAUUUGCAAUAUUGUGGGUUGUAGAAGGUCCUUCCAACAUAACUUCAGGAACAGUUGCAGAACAAUCGCUGGAAGUGUUAAAUGCUACAGAAAGUAGCAUAGUUGUCAGAAUUAGAGGGCCAAAAAUAUUGAUGGGAAAGUCGAACUUCAGCCCUGAGUUUGAAGGUGUUAAUUGCUUGACAUUCUGAAUUAGGUGGUAUGGAAGAUUACAAUGUCAUCAAAGCAUUGACUGGCUUCAGUGUGGUUGUUCUACUCUGCAAAUCUACGAAAGUUGGUGGAUGUUGUCCUUGGUACUCUGGUUUUCCCUGGCCUUUUGAUGAUCUUUGAGUCUUCAGUGGAUUGAAUCUAGGAGGAGCAGCUUGCCACAACCUGAAAUAGACAAUAGUCAAUAUUGAUGUUACACUGUAAACUAUUAAAUAAAUAUUCCAAUGAAACUUUA